CCUACGGGAGGCAGCAGUGGGGAAUAUGGCACAAUGGGGGAAACCCUGAUGCAGCGACGCCGCGGGAGUGAAGAAGGAUUUCGGUAUGUAAAGCUCUAGCAGCAGGGAAGAAAAGGACGGUAACUGAAUAAGAAGCCCCGGCGAACUACGUGCCAGCAGCCGCGGUAAUACGUAGGGGGCAAGCGUUAUCCGGAUUUACUGGGUGGAAAGGGAGCGUAGACGGCAGCACAAGUCUGGAGUGAAAUGCCGGGGCUUAACCCCGGAACUGCUUUGGAAACUGUGCAGCUAUAGUGCAGGAGAGGUCAGUUGAAUUCCUUGUGUAGCGGUGCCAUGC
rnacentral:rRNA from 1 species